UAUGUGUGCAUUUGUGUAUGCAUGUGUAUGUGUAUGCAUGUGUAUAUGUACAUGCAAACACACACACACACACACACACACACACACACACAC
rnacentral:miRNA from 1 species